rnacentral:lncRNA from 1 species
AUGGGUGAGGCAGCUCCUGUCAACCCUGGAGAAGAGUUCAGUUCAGAGCACCUGGAGGAUGGACCCACUGGCCUGGUAAUGGAGCGGGAGCUGCUAGAUUGUUUCUGCAAUAUAUCCCAUCUCCUCUCCACUCCGCCUUCUACCACCACUCUGGCCGUAGAUGAAAACCAGAAACAAAAAGGAGACCUUGGGAAUUUUGAAGAGAAAUUGGGAGGAAUCUUAAAGCUAGCAGGAGUGGCCAGUCUUCUGCCAAGUUCAUUCAGAAGAGUUUUUAAGUGGAAAAAAAAAAGUAUUUGCCCAUUUGAGAACUUUUUUUGAGAAGUCUUUUAAAUUGAUGUCUUUUUACUAAAGACUUCCUGUUUAAACCAGAUACUCUUAUUUCUACCUACACUUUAGAAAUGAGUGAUAAAUAUGCAAAUUAAAAAGUAAUAAAUGAAAAUCGCUGAGGUUUUUUCCA